UUGCUGGGUGGAUCAGUGGCGAACGGGUGAGUAACACGUGAGCAACCUGCCCCCUACUUCGGGAUAAGCCUUGGAAACGAGGUCUAAUACCGGAUAUGAGCACCUACCGCAUGGUGGGUGUUGGAAAGUUUUUCGGUGGGGGAUGGGCUCGCGGCCUAUCAGCUUGUUGGUGGGGUAAUGGCCUACCAAGGCGUCGACGGGUAGCCGGCCUGAGAGGGCGACCGGCCACACUGGGACUGAGACACGGCCCAGACUCCUACGGGAGGCAGCAGUGGGGAAUAUUGCACAAUGGGCGAAAGCCUGAUGCAGCGACGCCACGUGAGGGAUGACGGCCUUCGGGUUGUAAACCUCUUUCAGCAGGGAAGAAGCGAAAGUGACGGUACCUGCAGAAGAAGCGCCGGCUAACUACGUGCCAGCAGCCGCGGUAAUACGUAGGGCGCAAGCGUUGUCCGGAAUUAUUGGGCGUAAAGAGCUCGUAGGCGGUCUGUCGCGUCUGGUGUGAAAUCCCAUGGCUCAACUGUGGGCUUGCAUCGGGUACGGGCAGACUAGAG
rnacentral:rRNA from 1 species